rnacentral:rRNA from 1 species
AGAAUGAACGCUGGCGGCAUGCCUAACACAUGCAAGUCGAACGAAGGCUUCGGCCUUAGUGGCGCACGGGUGCGUAACGCGUGGGAAUCUACCCUUAGGUUCGGAAUAACAGUUGGAAACGACUGCUAAUACCGGAUGAUGACGUAAGUCCAAAGAUUUAUCGCCUAGGGAUGAGCCCGCGUAGGAUUAGCUAGUUGGUGUGGUAAAGGCGCACCAAGGCGACGAUCCUUAGCUGGUCUGAGAGGAUGAUCAGCCACACUGGGACUGAGACACGGCCCAGACUCCUACGGGAGGCAGCAGUGGGGAAUAUUGGACAAUGGGCGAAAGCCUGAUCCAGCAAUGCCGCGUGAGUGAUGAAGGCCUUAGGGUUGUAAGCUCUUUUACCCGGGAUGAUAAUGACAGUACCGGAGAAUAAGCUCCGGCUAACUCCGCGCCAGCAGCCGC